CGCAUCUGUGCAUGCAGCAUAUCAAUAAGCGGAGGAAAAGAAACUAACAAGGAUUCCCUUAGUAACGGCGAGUGAAGCGGGAAGAGCUCAAAUUUGAAAUCUUCAAGGUUUUACCUUGACGAAUUGUAGUUUAAAGAAGUGUUUUCUGUUGAAGUUUUGGUAAAAGUUCUUUGGAAUAGGACAUCAUAGAGGGUGAGAAUCCCGUAUUUGACCAUUAUUUUCAGCUGUGUGAUACACUUUCAAAGAGUCGGAUUGUUUGGGAAUGCAGUCCAAAAUGGGUGGUAAAUUUCAUCUAAAGCUAAAUAUUGGCGAGAGACCGAUAGCGAACAAGUACCGUGAGGGAAAGAUGAAAAGAACUUUGAAAAGAGAGUUAAACAGUACGUGAAAUUGUCAAAAGGGAAGCGUUUGACACCAGUGUUGUUUUCUCGAAAAUCAAUUAAAAAGAGUUUGAUUUUGUUGUGUAUUGACCUUAACAGCUUGCAUUUCAAUUUUCUUGCUUUUUUUAAUGCACUUUUCGUUUAACAAGUCAACAUCAGUUUCUUUUGUUGUAAAAAGGUCAUUGGAAGGUGGCUUUCUUUUCGGAGAAAGUGUUUAUAGCCUUUGACUCCUGCAAUCGGAGAGACUGAGGUCUGCAGCGUAGAUCCUUCGGGGUUAGAUACAUUUGUGCUAAGUUAUAGCUUUUUAUAGACAACUUGUUGACUAUGAUUAGUACUUGUAGCUUACUCGCUUAUGCUAUUUUACCUACGCUUAGGAUGUUGACACACGCGCGUGCUCG
rnacentral:rRNA from 1 species